rnacentral:rRNA from 1 species
UAGAGCUUAAGGGGGCUUGGUUUGUGCGACAUUCCUAAAGGAGAUAGUUUUAUCUCUUCUUUUUAUUUGGCGAGGGGGUGGGUUUAGCUAGCUAGGUAGAGUUGGAUCGAUCCAAAGGCCGCUCCGCUACCGGUCGGAGACACCGGUCGUGGCCGGUAGAGGCGCAGAUGCCAGGCCGCAACGGAGUACUUCCGUGGGACAGCACCCUCCUCUCUCUCGUCCUGUGCAGUGAGGAGGAGGAGUCCUAGCCCGUGGUGGCGCUGCUUCGGUCGUCCGACGAGCGGAGCGUGGGGCUAGACGAUGCGAAGGAGCUACGCCGCUGGACGCAGCCGGACGAGCUAGGGCAGAGGUUGUAUCAGCAGUCGCGGUACGAACGGCGGCGGCGUCUAGGGCAGCCGCCCCGGAGCCGCGAGCAGCCGCAGCGGCUGUACCUGUACUUCGUCGCGAGGGAGCUGCCGGAGCAGCGGAAGGAGUGGACGAAGAAGGGAGUGGAGUGGCUGACCCUCCGGCAGUCCAUGGAACAGGAGCGGCUCCGGCUGGGGGAGCAACGGCGCGCGUAGCAGCAGCUACUGGCGGCGUGGUUCACGAAGGCGGGUCCGAGGCGCCGGUGGUUGCCGCGGGAGUCCGAGCGAGAGUUCACGCGUUGCCACCGGCGGUUCGUAGGCACAGGGAGGCUCGAGCGCCCGCAAACCGACAGGUACACGAGGAGGGAGCUGUGGGAGCUCUUCCGGCAGAGGAACGAGUUAAGGGGGCCGCUGUAGGAGGUGUGAGACCGGUUCGUCUGCGGUAUACAGGGAACAGGCCGAGGACAACCGUAACCGUCGUCGGAGUAGUCUGGUACCCUCGAACGGCGGGCAGCGUCAUUCGUGCGGCGGUGCCACUGGGUGGUCAUAAGGACCAGUGAAUCCGCUCACGAGGAUGUAUGCUAGGUACCAAAGAUGGACGUCCGAGAGCGGUCCUACGGCCCGCCGCUGGACGCCAGAGCCAUGGUGGCCUCGUACGAGUUCCGACCGGUAACGAUGCCGGGAAAGCUAAGACAGUGGUUGUAGUAGCAGUUGUGGUAGACCAUGCUUCGGUGGAAGGGUGGUGACUCAGUUGACCUGCUCGAGCUGUAAGAGCCGUGGAACUUGGACUACGCCUAACUUCGUGCUAGGAACAUACCUGAACAGAGAAAGGAGACGUGGGUACUGUUUCCAGAGUUACGGCUAGUCCGGUAUUCCUAGGACGAGCUGUACCUAGAGCUGAACCGGCGCUGUUUCGUCACGUCGCCACAGGUCCUUCUUGUUCUUCUUCGGAAGUCCCGACGACGUUAACGCCGUACCGUAGGGUCUGGGCUACGGGUCCGUCCUAAGGAGUCAAGUACGUCCUUUGGACUUCAGGACAAUGACGACAGUCUAUUACCCCCGGUUGUUGUCGAGAGGAGAGUCACACAGGUCGUCGAACGGUACGAUAACAGUAGACGAAAGUUAAGGUGACCGUAGAGUCGGGUCGUCUUCGUCGGUCAACGGCAAACACUUGCCCGUAAGUUAGAAUCGUACAGUCUCCCUGCGUUUGUCGCUUCCCUAGUAUUUUCUUAGAGGUCUUUCCAGUUCCGACGUGAUUCGUCUAUACUCUACGUCUUAAGCCCCGUGCGGACAAUGGCCGAAGUACACUAGACGCCACACUUACAUAGGCAUAGACCAGCACUGACCUUCGCUUUUUGAGCAAAGCUGCUACUGAUGAUGGUAGUGUAUGUACGGUUGAAAGACCACUGCGUCCUACAACCGAGACAUCCAAGUCAAGGUCAUGAGAAGAAACGACUCGAAUCGUUACUGCUACUACCGCUGUUCCUAUCGGUCGAAAAUACAACGGGACACCUAAAAGGUUGUGGUCCCCGACUCGGUCACGCGACGGAAAAGACGCUCGAUCUUCCCUAGUCCUAACACGUGGGCCGAUCACCCCUCCCUAAGGUACCCGUGCUCCACCUCAAACCCUUCUACCAGGCGCCUCUUCUAGAUAUACUGUUGCCGAUGAUAGCCCUCCACAUGUUGUUGCUGGCGUAAGAUUCAUUACCGCUAAUACAAUGCUUGACCUAGGUACUACCUGAGCUCCUCCUGAUGUACAUGGAUCCAUCGUUACUGAAGUGGUAGUUCCUUCUGCUGCCGGUACUCAGCCUACUUAUACCUCUGCUCAUCAUAUAUAUCACUGUCCCCACAUCAUAAGUGAAGUGACUACUAGGAGUAUAAUUCGACAUCGAUCAAACACACGAAGAAGGUAAAUAUAACCCGUCCAGAAGACUUUCCACCACUAUUUUGGUUCGAAGUCCUUCGCCAGUUAGUCGGCAACCGCUAACACUGCAUAGAACGACCAGUCUACGCACUCCGAGGCCGACCUCGGUUAUCCCGCGAACCUCGACCACUAGUUCGUCCUCAGAACACAUAACGACUACGGACACCGGCAUCAAAAAGACGAGGAAAUUUGCAACACCAGGAAAACAGAGAUCAAGAUAGAUCACGUAACUUGAGAUGACAACACCAACGUCCACUAUGGUCCAAAAGCACAUCGCUCGCGAAACUACCGCUAGUGAGUGUUGCCCAAAGGGAGUCGAGAGACGGAGAGAAAAGUUAAUGGUUAAACGACCAGAACAUUCUUGAUUUAUAGAGCCAACUCGCUAUGACCUUUCCCUUUGACAAACAAAGAAACCUUAGACAACCGUAGGCAUAUCACGGGCCUCGUCUUUCUGUACCCUACGAGCUGGGUUUAUUCCAUUAUUGUGUCGAUUUGGGGGGUUCACUCCGUCCUCUAACGAGUGCUCUUUACACCUUCGAUUAACCUCGUGGGGAAACGGCUUAUUCCACUCUUAAAAACGAACUUCUCAUCGGACCCUGUCGCGAACAGGACUCAGAACACCGAUGUUCUGACUUUGAUCUAAAGCACGAUGUCAUCUGACAUGAUUUCGGUUUCGAAACUCUUUGCUUUACUCUUCUAGGGUCUCGAACAAAGGCGUCCCGACGAAAGGUCAUAAGACCUGGCCUAACCGAGAACGACGAAGAAAGUUCUUAAAAACUCCCAAGAGUACUAAAAGACCUGUCAUAAGACCUAAAAAAAACACACACUUUGUAACUGUUUACAAAAACAUCGAACGUUUUAAAGUAGUGCUUUACUGUAAGCACCUUUUACACUCUUUUUUAACUACGAGGUUUUACGCAAACUCGUAACUAAAAAAAAAAGAAGUGCUAAAGGUGCCUACUGUAUACCACUACUUUAAAACGUUCGAUGAGGGAGGCAAAGUAUUAUAUUCUCGAAAAACUGUGAUGGUAUCACCGUUUUUGCGAGAAUAUAAUACCCUACCUCUCUCAUUGUUUAUACCACUUCUUUGAAUCCCGGAGAAACUAAGUGUACUAAGAUCUUUAUGUAUUUAUCCUUUCCAUAUCCUAAAAAAAAAA